GGGGUGUGUAGAGAGAGAGAGAGAGAGAGAGAUACUCGAGUCGGCUCUCUUGGGAAGUAACAUCCACUAAUCUACCGGCUGCCAUCUGAUUGUAUCUUCUUCUUUUGGAAUUUCGAUCCGUAUUGCUCAAUAAGGGAUUCUUUCUUAACGGAAAAACUUUUGCAGCAUCCUCUGCUCCGGCUCAAGGACUAACUCGCCUUGUAUGUGCCAGAUUGAAAUGGUAACGCUGCUAACAUCUCCCUGCGUCCAUUCAGAACUUGUGACAUAAGUCGUGUUGUGGCUCGCGACAGAGGAGGCACGCGGACUCGGUGUCCCGUCAAGAGAGAGAGAAAGGGCUGAACAGGACGAGCUGUGGGCGGAAUACAAAGUGUACUUGUGAAAGAAAACGUCCGACAAAAAGAAUGAGACAAGCUGCCGGUGUGGGGCCUUAAAAGCGAAGAAGAUUUAGUGCUCUCUGUCGGAAGAGGAUUCAACAAAAUCCAGUUUUGUGUGUGAUCUGCUACUGGAAACGGAGGGAUGACAGUCAAGCUGGACUUUGAGGAGUGUUUAAAAGACUCUCCGCGCUUCAGAGCUGAAAUUGAAGUGGUACAAAACGAUGUGUGUGAUCUCGAGACACGAUUAGAAAAGCUUGUGAAACAAUGCCAGGCCAUGCUGGAAGCAGGCAGAGUCUACUGCCAGACCAGCAAGAGCUUUGUCAACGGCCUCCGGGAUCUGGGACAGCACUGCUCCGGGGACAAGACCAUGGAGGAGUGUUUGGACAAAUUUUCCAAAAAGCUGUCUAUCGUCUUGGAGGCACAGGGGGAAGUGAUUGAAACCACACAGAAGUCAGUCAAGACGAAGCUGCAGAACUUUGUCAAAGAGGAUGUCCGUCGGUUCAAGGACGUGCGCAGGGGGUUUGAGCGUGGCAGUGAAUGCCUCGAGGGGGCGCUGGUGAGGAACGCUCAAGCCCCACGGGGAAAACAACACGAAGUGGAGGAGGCCAGCAAUGCUCUGCUAAACGCACGCAAGACCUUUCGGUCUGAGGCCCUGGAUUACGUCCUGGAGAUUAAUGUCAUUGAGGCCAAGAAGAAGACAGAAAUUCUGAUGGCAAUGUUGUCACUGAUGGAGGCCCAGGCUCAGCUCUUCCAACAUGGCCACCAGUCUUUCUCAGAACUGGAGGAAUAUCGACAGAAACUGAAUAAAGAGCACACUCAGUUUGUCCUAAACGCUGCCCGGGAGAAGAGGGACAUGGAGCAAAGACACGCUGCAAUUAAGAAAAAGGACGUGUCCUAUGAUGACUCCAUCAUGGAUUUCAAUGCUGACGCAGCCAAUGGAAUUGCCAUGGAGGGAUACCUUUAUAAGAGAGCCAGCAAUGCUUUCAAAACCUGGAGCAGGCGUUGGUUCUCGAUUCAAAAAAAUCAGCUGGUGUAUCAGAAGAAAUUUAAGGACCAGCCUACAGUUGUGGUGGAGGACUUGCGUCUUUGCACAGUCAAGCCUAGCAGUGAAAACGAGAGACGAUUCUGCUUUGAAGUGGUGUCCCCGUCAAAGUGUUGUUUGUUACAGGCAGACUCGGAAAGGCAGCAGCAGGCGUGGAUAAGUGCCGUCCAAAACAGCAUCGCCUCAGCCUUUCAGGAGCACAGAGAGGACCCACACAGCCCAAGACAACGCCUCAGCUCGGUGUCGGCGAGCAGUUUGGGGGGAGGAGUGGAUCAGGAGAACAAGGGCUGCAAGGCGCUGGAGGAAGUCCAGGCGAUCCCAGGGAAUAAGCAGUGCUGCGACUGCGAGGAGGCCGGUCCUGAUUGGGCCUCCAUCAAUCUGGGCAUCACGCUUUGCAUCACAUGCUCAGGAAUACACAGGAGCCUGGGAGUCCAUUUCUCCAAAGUACGCUCGCUCACUCUCGACUCCUGGGAGCCAGAGCUCAUUAAGUUGAUGUGUGAAUUAGGUAACACAGUAAUCAACCAGAUCUACGAGGCCCGGAUUGAUGAGAUCACCAUCAAGAAGCCCCACGCCUCCAGUCCCAGAGGAGACAAGGAGUCGUGGAUCCGAUCAAAGUACGUUGAAAAGAAGUUCAUCCAAAAGCUGCCCGGGACCGGCAACACGCUGCUGAGGAGGUCCAGCGCCAAAAGGAACCGAGCAGCCACGCAGGACCGGACCAUACAGCGGCCGCCGCUCAAACCCAAACCAAACCGAGCCACUCUGCCUCGGGUCACAGGGCUGAGCCCCAGUGACCUUGUCCAAAAGAACAAUACACACAAAGAUGUACAAGAAGAUGAAGAGGAUCUGAGCAGCCUUCACCCCGGUGCGCUGCUGUACCGCUCAGCUGCCCUGCAGAACUUCCCUGUCAUGGCUGACGCUUUGGCCCACGGGGCCAACGUCAACUGGGUCAACGUGGCCGAGGAGUCCAGCACACCGCUGAUACAGGCCGUCUCAGCGAAUGCCCUGGCAGCCUGUGAGUUCCUGCUGCAGAACGGCGCUAACGUUAACCAGGCAGACAGCAACGGAAGAGGGCCACUUCACCACGCCACCAUCCUGGGUCACACCGGGUUGGUUUGUCUCUUCUUGAAGAGAGGAGCAGACUACAACGCCAGAGACAAGAACCAGAAAGACUCCAUAACUAUUGCCGUGGACAACGCCAAUGCUGACAUUGUCACUUUGCUGCGGAUUGCCAAAAUGAACAAGGAGAUGCGGGAGAUGGAUGGAGCCUUUGGCCAAUCAGGUCACUCGGGGGGGCAGGGAUCUGGAGGUUUAUUGGGUGGGACAGGAGGUGGGCGGGGCCACGGCAGGAAGAGCCUCCAGUCUAUAAAGAACCACAUAAGUGGCUGGGCUCUGGGGGGGCAAAAUGAUUAGUGAGGAUAGAAAUCAGCCCAGGACAAGAGACAGGCGGCGAGACUGGACUGAGCUUGUUUUUGGUUAAGUAUCAGAAAUCACUGGGUUUGCAAUAUCAUGUGGUGUUUAUCUGCAGAGAAAGUGUCCUGACCUUCCACACAUCAUUAAAGGAAACAUGUCAUCACUUCUAAGAACGAAAAAAAAAAGUAAAAUUGCCAUGAUUAAGAAAACAUAAAAUCCAAUUCUUGUAAACUAAGAAAGAGCCAGAACACAGGGUAUGACAGAGUCUCAAGGACAUAAGUGAAACAAAUAAGGGACAUUGUGAGAAAGUAAAAGGAGUCCACAUUGCACUUUGAAUUACAAACGCACAUCGUCCUGCACUUUGAAGCCCACAAAAUCUCUGAAUACAGUGUCAACAGAGAGUGCUGCAUGCCAGUGUUUCCAAUGUUACUAAACUAGACCUAAAUCAGGCCUAUUCUUUCUAAUACUGUAUAUUUGGGAUAUUUUAUAUACAGGAUGUAGUGUUCUGGCUUUGUAAGAGUGCUUUUUUUAUCGUGCAUCUCCAUGUGUUUUGGACUUUUUCAGUCCAGUUAUAAAAUUCAAUGCUGUGUUUGGUUCUCAUGGACAGUUUUAUCCCUCUAUUCUGUGAAUAGUGACACAGUUAGAAAUCUGUUAUAUAUGUGUAUUUAUCAGAAUUCCAAGAGCUCUGUGCUGCAGCUCUUAAGCUUAACAAGGGUUUUGUUUGCAUUUUGUCCUUUUGGCUCCUUUUCAAGCUUCAAAGUUCCAUUCUUUCAUGACCAUCCUUUAAUGGCUAUCAAAGCUUUUUGUUAAGUUUUUGUGUCAUAUUCACUCACGGUUUUACUCAUAAAGGAAUGGAAACAUGAUGCUUUUGUCUGCUCGAAACAACUGCUGGUCAGUAUUUGACAUGCUGUGCUUUAUCACUGUUUGUAUGUCUUUGUUGUGUGCACUCAUGUGCCUUUGCCUUCUGCCCGCUGAGAUGUCCAGCUGGUCUCAACUGCUUGUGCAGUGUGCCACCUACUGCACACUAAGAGGUGAUGAAACCUACCAGGACAUCUUCAGAGACUUUUCACACAUGGCCUCAAACAACCCCGAAAAGCUCAAUCGUCGCAGUGCAGACCCCAAAUCUUAACCAGCUGUUACCUACUGGUUGCACAGCUGUACGAUGCCACAGUUCACACUUGUAUACUUUCAAACACAUAUAGAACAUGCUAGUAUCCUUCUCACAGACAUGCAGACACAUUUUCCUUGGCUACCUGCCACAUGUUCAUAGCUCAUCUGGUGUUGACUUCAUGCUCCAAACAGUUAAUUCAUAUUGCAAACACGUCAGACCAGAACAAUUGCAUCAAAGUGAGAACACUGGAGCUGCCUUUUUAGGCCAGCAUGAGGUGUCCAUGUGUAACAGAGGGUAACGCCAUCAUUCUGCCAAGAUUUCUUAAUUAAAUCUGGUAAAUCCGUUUUAUUUUUUUUGUACUAAAAGGGCAGUGUUUUUAUGUUAUUUCUAUUUAAUUUUUACAUGAAAAAGUCAAAAGUGUUUGUUGGAAAUGGACAUAAUCAUUGCAAAGAGGAAAACCUUAUGUCAAAUGUCUUCCACUGUAUUGUAUAGAUUUUUAAAUUUGGGACAAUUUUGGACCCUGUCUGUUUUGUUAAAAUUGUGCAAGGUACUUAAGAUUUGUUUUAUGAUCAAAUAAGCUGCAAUAAAAAACACAUUCAA